rnacentral:rRNA from 1 species
UGCGUAGACGGUUAUCUAAGUCGGGUGUGAAAGCCCCGGGCUCAACCUGGGAAUUGCAUUCGAGACUGAAUAGCUAGGGUACGGAAGAGGGAAGCGGAAUUUCAGGUGUAGCGGUGAAAUGCGUAGAUAUCUGAAGGAACACCAGUGGCGAAAGCGGCUUCCUGGUCCAGUACCGACGUUCAGGCACAAAAGACGUGGGGAGGCAAAACA